AGGGAUAACGCUUUCCUCCUCGUUUUUCGCUGCAAACCAGGUGCCACUUCCUUACCCCGCUUGAUGGCAAAUGUCUCAUCUUCAGCGGGCUGGAGCUGGCAUACAUUAUUUUAAUUAAGUCUAUGGCGAUUUACUUUCCUCUGAGAUCCAUUCCACGGUGCAAUUAGGAACGUAUUGGUGCUAGCACAUAUGAAUAUUCAGGAGAGUGUCAAUUAAUUAGCAGACAGAGGAAUCUCAUUAUGGUGCUCAAAACCCUUUUAGUGCUAAGCAGAAUUAAGGGGGCAUUUGCCAAUGUGCCGGAUUAGUGAAUAUUUUACUGCGCGCUCAUUUAACUUCAUUAUCAUAGCACUUACACUACUCUCUGAUUUUAUUAAUUAAAUCGCUCAUUAAUUUAUCCAGGAGAGGGAUAAAAGUUUUAUGACGCCAUAGCGCUUGCGUAGGCGCCCUGAAAGGGCCGCUCGACGCCGCCGCGCCCGCCCGGAGCCCCGCGGCCCCCCGGCGGCCAUGGGCCGGGCACCGCCCGUGCGGCCUCGGGCCCGGCCCGGUUCCUCCCGGCAGCGGGGGGGGUCGGGGCCGUGCGGUCGCCUCCAGGCCCCGCACACGGUGCCCGAGCAGGAGCCUCUCCGGCCGAAGCCGAGCGCCGUCUCCCUGCGGUGGGACGUGCCGGGGGCUGCCGGCACCGCCGGUCUGCGGAAGUGCCCAGAGGCUGUGAAUGAAACUGCUGAACAUUUCACAGAUACUGCAAAGGGCAACUUCUGCCCCAUGCAGUUUACAGCAAAAAAUAAGCAAGACAGCAAAAAGCAGGAGGCAAUAACCAAGAAGGGAUUUGGCGUGAAAUCCGCUGCAAGAACAUGCAAGUGUGGGAAGGAACAGAGAGCUCUGCUGCUGCAGAUUUCUGUCAGGGUUAGCGAAUACUGCUGUGCUGGAGUGCAGCUGGGAGGAGUGGAGCCAGCUGCCACAGAACUGGGCAUGUGUUAA
rnacentral:lncRNA from 1 species